rnacentral:rRNA from 1 species
UACGUAGGGUGCAAGCGUUGUUCGGAAUUACUGGGCGUAAAGCGCGCGUAGGCGGGUUUGAAAGUCGAUUGUGAAAUCCCUGGACUCAACCCGGGAACUGCAGUCGAAACUCCAAAUCUUGAAUGCCUGAGAGGAUGGCGGAAUUCCCGGUGUAGUAGUGAAAUACGUAGAUAUCGGGAAGAACACCUGAGGCGAAGGCGGCUAUCUGGCGGUGCAUUGACGCUGAGGCGCGAAAGCGUGGGGAGCAAACAGG